rnacentral:rRNA from 1 species
UACAGGGGGUGCAAACGUUGCUCGGAAUCAUUGGGCGUAAAGCGCACGUAGGCGGUUUGUUAUGUCGGAUGUGAAGGCCCUUGGCUCAACUGAGGAAGUGCAUCCGAAACUGGCAAGCUAGAGUACUAAAGAGGGUCGCGGAAUUCCCGGUGUAGAGGUGAAAUUCGUAGAUAUCGGGAGGAACACCGGUGGCGAAGGCGGCGACCUGGGUAGAUACUGACGCUGAGGUGCGAAAGCGUGGGGAGCAAACAGG